rnacentral:rRNA from 1 species
UAGUCAUAUGCUUGUCUCAAAGAUUAAGCCAUGCAUGUCUAAGUAUAAACUGCUUUAUACUGUGAAACUGCGAAUGGCUCAUUAAAUCAGUUAUAGUUUAUUUGAUGGUACUUACUUACUCGGAUACCCGUAGUAAUUCUAGAGCUAAUACGUGCGUACAUCCCGACUUCUGGAAGGGACGUAUUUAUUAGAUAAAAGGCCGACCGGGCUUGCCCGACUCGCGGUGACUCAUGAUAACUUCACGAAUCGCAUGGCCUUGCGCCGGCGAUGUUUCAUUCAAAUUUCUGCCCUAUCAACUUUUGAUGGUAGGAUAGAGGCCGACCAUGGUGGUAACGGGUGACGGAGAAUUAGGGUUCGAUUCCGGAGAGGGAGCCUGAGAAACGGCUACCACAUCCAAGGAAGGCAGCAGGCGCGCCNAUUACCCAAUCCUGAUACAGGGAGGUAGUGACAAAUAAUA